UACAGAGGUCUCAAGCGUUGUUCGGAUUCAUUGGGCGUAAAGGGUGCGUAGGCGGCGCGGUAAGUCGGGUGUGAAAUCUCGGAGCUUAACUCCGAAACUGCAUUCGAUACUGCCGUGCUUGAGGACUGGAGAGGAGACUGGAAUUUACGGUGUAGCGGUGAAAUGCGUAGAUAUCGUAAGGAAGACCAGUGGCGAAGGCGGGUCUCUGGGCAAUAACUGACGCUGAGGAGCGAAGCGUGGGAGCGAACAGG
rnacentral:rRNA from 1 species